GUGUUUAGGCAGCAUGUGUACUAAAAUUGGAACAAUCCAGAGAUUAGUAUGGUCCCCGCACAAGGACGACACACAAAUUCGCGAAGCGUUCCAUAUUUUU
rnacentral:snRNA from 1 species